ACUCAAAUGAAUUGACGGGGACCCGCACAAGCGGUGGAUUAUGUUCUUUAAUUCGAUGCUAACCGAAGAACCUUACCAGGGUUUGACAUCCCGAGAAUUACUCCGAAAGGAGUGAGUGCUUUUAGAACUCGGUGACAGAUGUUGCAUGGCCGUCGUCAGCUCGUGUCGUGAGAUGUUUGGUUAAGUCCAUCAACGAGCGCAACCCUUGUGAUUAGUUGUAUUUUUCUAAUCAGACUGCCCCGGCAACGGGGAGGAAGGAGGGGAUGAUGUCAGGUCAGUAUUACUCUUACAUCCUGGGCUAGAAACGUAAUACAAUGGCGAGUACAAUGCGCAGCGAAGCCGCGAGGUGAAGCAAAUCGCAUCAAAACUCGUCCCAGUUCGGAUUGGAGGCUGAAACUCGCCUCCAUGAAGUCGGAAUCGCUAGUAAUCGCAGGUCAGCAAACUGCGGUGAAUACGUUCCCGGGUCUUGUACACACCGCCCGU
rnacentral:rRNA from 1 species